rnacentral:rRNA from 1 species
UACGUAGGCAGCGAGCGUUGUUCGGAAUUACUGGGCGUAAAGAGUGUGUAGGCGGUGCUCUAAGUUCGGUGUGAAAUCUCCCGGCUUAACUGGGAGGGUGCGCCGGAAACUGGAGUGCUCGAGCGUGGGAGAGGAAAGUGGAAUUCCUAGUGUAGCGGUGAAAUGCGUAGAGAUUAGGAAGAACACCAGUGGCGAAGGCGACUUACUGGACUGUAACUGACGCUGAGGCAUGAAAGCGUGGGGGAGCAAACAGG